rnacentral:rRNA from 1 species
CGUAGGGAGCGAGCGUUGUUCGGAAUUAUUGGGUUUAAAGGGUGCGUAGGCGGUUUUCUAAGUCAGCAGUGAAAUACGGCAGCUCAACUGUCGAGGUGCUGUUGAUACUGGGGAACUUGAGUACUGAUGAGGUAGGCGGAAUGGACGGUGUAGCGGUGAAAUGCUUAGAGAUCGUCCAGAACACCGAUAGCGAAGGCAGCUUACUAAGGAGUAACUGACGCUGAGGCACGAAAGUGUGGGGAUCAAACAGGAUUAGAUACCCUGGUAGUCCACACUGUAAACGAUGAUUACUCGAUGUGUGCGAUAUACGGCACGCGUCUUAGCAAAAGCGAUAAGUAAUCCACCUGGGGAGUACGCCGGCAACGGUG